CUCCCUCUGUUUUCACUGUGCCCUCCAUCUCUCUACUUACUCUCACUCUCUGUCUUGAGGAUAUUACUGAGUUCCGGCUGACAGCCUUUGCGCAGCAAUUCCAUCUCUCCAUCCUUCCGGACAUUGUUACAGAGCUGUUGGAGAGGAGAACAGAAUAGCCUGAGGUGAAGCAGCGCUGACCUGAAAGACCCCACCUCUGUUUCUGGAUCCUAUGGAAGCCAAGGCCAAGAGCGGGGCACCAGUGCCCAAGGCAUCCUCUAAAGCAGAGAAGACGGAGAAGAAGGAGGUAGCUCCCCCUAAAAAGGUUGAACCCGCUCCAGUCGAGCCUCCACCCCCAGCGGCCCUUGUGGAAGAGCCUCCAGUGGAGGAUGGAGCAGCUGAACCAGAGGGGGCACCAGAGGGCGGAGAGGCAGCAGAGGCCAGCACAGACUCCCUGGAAAGCCUGAAGCCCUUCCUCAUUGGUGGUGCCAUCAUCGCUGCUGGUGCCAUCCUGUUGGGGGCACUGUUGUUGGCACGGAGAAAUUAACCACCACCGCUCAUCAUCAAAACCUAUUGGUUGAUGGGUUAACGAGUCACUUGCUGAUUGGUUCAUAGACUAUCAUGCAGCUGGUAGAGAUGGGGGAUGGGGAGCCACUGUGCUUCUUAAGUUAAAUUCAGUCUGACCUAUAUAAACAUCAGUGAACAUUCAAGUAAUACAUUUUUGGGCCCUUGCUAGUAUACUCAUGCAUGAAUAUGCUCCACCCCUCCAACUGCACCUGCUUAUAGGUCUACAGGCAUUUAAUCACCAUACAAAUACACUCCAACAGUUACACUGGACACACACAUAUAUACAGUACUUGAAUACCCUAUGUAUCUAGUAUGCACUGAUAAACAUUUUGAUCUUCUGGGUCUACUAAUACAUAAGUUAGAAGUAGAAAUAUAGUAACUUUAUAUUGUUUGAUUUUAAAAAGGUCAUAUGAAGUGAAGUAUGAAGUAUAUUAAACAUACUAUUGUGAACAAGUCAGUGCCUAGUAGGUUUGGGGUCAAUCCCAUUUAAAUUCCAGUCAAUUCAGGAAGUACACUGAAAUUCCAAUUCUCUUGAAUGCUUUUCAAUAUAGAACAUUUGGAAUUUGAAUUUUGUUUAAUUUCUGAAUGGAAUUUAAAUGGAAUUGAUCCCAACCCUGGUGCCUAGUAUGUGUUAUUUCUAUGCUCGUAUUGCUUUUGCUGUAAAUACACGGUCCCUGCAGAUCAGAUGUGAACCCCUUUGAAUAACGGUUUUAGACAAGGAGAUAUCGUUAUAACAAUUCAGGGGAAGUUGCAUGGUUUAGGGAAGGCUGUGUGUAAGUGAAGUCAGCAAUGGCAGAUAAUAGUGUGACAGAUGAAGUCACUUAAACAAUUGUAUGUGAAAGACUUCCAUUUGAGUCUCUACUGAUGCUGAGGUAAUACAAUUUCAUAGUCAAAUUGCCCCUAUCUCCCAAAUCAAUAUGUACAUUGAGAUUAUAGUCAAAGUCAUGCCUGGCUGCCUGCGUUUACGGCCCUGAUGACUCAAAUGGAGUAUAAACCAAAAGCAUACACACUAAAUUGCCAAAGAUAUUAUAUUUUAACCCUGUGUGUUAACACUGUAAACCCUUGGUGUGUCCAUUUGUCAAAUGUAUUAACAACUUGCAUACUGCAAUUUCUCUGGAGCAAUAGUGUAGCUUCUAUUUAUUUGAAGACCAUACAUGUUAGAGUGUUAGUGCAAGAGACUGUGCAGCUAGUGUAAUAGUACUGUACAUUGUAUGUAUGAAUUUCGAUUCAGGAUGAAAAUAUUAUUAUAUUAUAUUAUACAUGCAAUAUGUGGUGUACCAAUGUAUGUAGUAACUUGGCCAGUUAUGCUCAACAAAUCAGCAGAUACACAAAUAUAUUACAUCCACCUCCAACCUCCAGGAAAGCCUUGAAAGUAUGAUGAAAUGAUGAUAAUACAUGCAUUACGGUUUAUUUUGUAAUAUAUUAAUAUUUUUUGAUAGUUUGAUAAACCUAGAAUUCGAGUAGAAAGCAUGCAUUAUUGAUGGGAGUAGAGAAAUAGCUGAAUUUAUUUAGUAAAUUAACUGAGAUUGUUUCCUCUUUUGUUUCCCUAUUAAUUACAGAGAAGCUCUCCUAUUUUUUACAACAUACAAACUGUUUUUUUUAUUAAAGGCCUAGGAGAUUUUCAACACCCAAUCAAACAUCUUGCUUGAACACUGGCAUGUAGCUUACCAUGAUGCAAUAUCAACACCUCCAGCACAACAACAGACACAUAUUCUGCAGACACAUGCUCAAAUAGCCUAGUCGUCACGUCACAGAGUACUACACAAAAUCUAUCAGUUAUUUUCCUUGGUCUCAAAGAGCGUAUAAAUGCAAUAAUUCCAGUAGGAUUCCACAUUUUAGCACAUGUUCUGUAGGAUAUUAAAAUAAUGGUAAUGAUUGUGAAAUGUUGAUGGGUAAUACUAUUCUAAAUGGAGAAUGAGAACCAGAUGAUGAUGAUAUGAUAGCGGUGAUUACGAUGGGGAUUAAACCUAUAUUUCCUUGCACACUCCCUCCCCUGCCCCCAAAGCUCCUUGUGUAAAUCCAAAUGGUUAUCUUGUGACUUGACCUGACCUUUAUUAAAGGCAAUGAACCAGCUUG